CCUACGGGAGACAGCAGUGGGGAAUAUUGGACAAUGGGGGCAACCCUGAUCCAGCGACGCCGCGUGAGUGAAGAAGUAUUUCGGUAUGUAAAGCUCUUUUCUCAGGGACGAAAGAAAUGACGGUACCUGACUAAGAAGCCCCGGCUAACUACGUGCCAGCAGCCGCGGUAAUACGUAGGUGGCAAGCGUUAUCCGGAUUUACUGGGUGUAAAGGGAGCGUAGGCGGCAAAGCAAGUCUGAUGUGAAAGGCGGGGGCUCAACCUCCGGACUGCUUUGGAAACUGUAUUGCUGGAGUGCAGGAGAGGUAGAUGGAAUUCCUAGUGUAGCGGUGAAAUGCGUAGAUAUUAGGAGGAACACCAGUGGCGAAGGCGGUUUACUGGACAGUAACUGACGUUGAGGCGCGAAAGCGUGGGGAGCAAACAGGAUUAGAUACCCGGGUAGUC
rnacentral:rRNA from 1 species